rfam:Candidate division WOR-1 bacterium RIFOXYB2_FTLL_37_13 rifoxyb2_full_scaffold_135, whole genome shotgun sequence.
GGGCCCUUAGCUCAAUGGUGGAGCGCUCGGCUCAUAACCGAUUGGUUAUAGGUUCGAAUCCUAUAGGGCCCA